rnacentral:rRNA from 1 species
GUCCUUUUGAUUAUAAUUUAAGGUCUAGCCUGCCCAAUGAGGAUUUAAAUGGCCGCGGUAUUUUGACCGUGCAAAGGUAGCAUAAUCAUUAGUUUUUUAAUUGAAAGCUGGAAUGAAAGGUUGAAUGAGAAAACUACUGUCUCUAUUUAAUUUAAUUAGAAUUUUAUUUUUAAGUUAAAAAGCUUAAAUUUAUUUAAAAGACGAGAAGACCCUAUAGAGUUUAAUAAAUUUAUUUAUAUUAUUUUUUAGUAUUAAUAAUUAAUAUAUUAUAAAUUUAUUUGGUUGGGGUGAUUGAAAAAUUAAAUAAACUUUUUUUUUAUUAAACCAUUAAUUUAUGAAUAUUUGAUCCAUUUUUUAUGAUUAUAAGAUAAAAUUACCUUAGGGAUAACAGCGUAAUUUUUUUUAAGAGUUCAAAUCGAAAAAAAAGAUUGCGACCUCGAUGUUGGAUUAAAGUUAAUUUUUGGUGUAGGAGCUAAGAAUUUUAGGUCUGUUCGACCUUUGAAACUUUACA